CAGUAGCCGCGGUAACACGAAGGGUGCAAGCGUUAAUCGGAAUUACUGGGCGUAAAGCGUGCGUAGGCGGUUUGUUAAGUCUGUUGUGAAAUCCCCGGGCUCAACCUGGGAAUGGCAAUGGAUACUGGCAAGCUAGAGUGUGUCAGAGGAUGGUAGAAUUCCCGGUGUAGCGGUGAAAUGCGUAGAGAUCGGGAGGAACAUCAGUGGCGAAGGCGGCCAUCUGGGACAACACUGACGCUGAGGCACGAAAGCGUGGGGAGCAAACAGGAUUAGAUACCCCAGUAGUCCCUGUCUCUUAUAC
rnacentral:rRNA from 1 species